rnacentral:rRNA from 1 species
AUUGAACGCUGGCGGCAGGCCUAACACAUGCAAGUCGAGCGAGCGGCGGACGGGUGAGUACUGUAUGGGGACUGCCCGUUAGCGGGGGAUAACUACUGGAAACGGUAGCUAAUACCGCAUACUAUCGGAUAACCCAUAUGGGAUUAGCUCUUAGGUGAGGUAAUGGCUCACCUAGGCGACGAUCCCUAGCUGGUCUGAGAGGAUGAUCAGCGACACGGGGACGGGGACACGUCCCAGACUCCAAGGGAGGCAGCAGUGGGGAAUAUUGCACAAUGGGCGCAAGUCUGAUGCAGUCAUGCCGAGUGUAUUAAGAAGGCCCUAGGGGUGUAAAGUACGGUCAGUCGGGAGGCGUUACCGACAGAAGAAGCACCGGCUAACUCCGUGCCAGCAGCCGCGGUAAUUC